AAUUAAAGGCCUUACAGGUCAGAUUCCAACUUCGAUCUUCAACAUUUCUUCUCUGAAAACCAUUGAUCUCUCCAACAAUAGCCUAUCAGGUAGUUUGCCUAAUGAUAUGUGUCAACAUCUUCCCAAGCUUGAAGGGCUUUACCUGGGUUUGAAUGAAUUAUCUGGUAACGUUCCAUCAAGUAUGGGCAAAUGCAGCAACCUUAAAAUUUUGUGGUUGUCCUCUAAUCAAUUGAUGGGGAUCAUUCCAAAAAGUAUUGGAAAUCUGACACGACUCAAAGAAUUAUAUUUGGGGCUGAAUAACCUAGAAGGUAUUAAAUUUUAUUGGUUUCUGAGUUUAAAGUAUUUUUUUAAUAAAAGAGUUUGAUUAGUAAUAGAUAACAAAAGUAAGAGCAUUUUAUUUCAUUCAAGGCAAAAUAGUUCAAAAUAGUUAAUUUGAUGAAAACAAAUAUGCUUAAAAUAUUAAAAUCUAACAUUUGCAAAUUAUGUAAAACAAAAAAGAAAACCUCUUUGACUUAUGCUAACAAAAUAGGUAGUUUGACACCUUGAUUUUUCGACUAUGUGUGCAGGCCAAAUUCCUGAGGAAAUCGGUAAUCUUCUUGGUUUGGAAAUGCUUAAUAUUCAAGAAAUUAAAGGCCUUAUAGGUCGGAUUCCAACUUUGAUCUUCAACAUUUCUUCUCUGAAGACCAUUGAUCUCUCCAACAAUAGCCUAUCAGGUAGUUUGCCUAAUGAUAUGUGUCAACAUCUUCCCAAGCUUGAAGGGCUUUACCUGGGUUUGAAUGAAUUAUUUGGUAACAUUCCAUCAAGUAUGGGCAAAUGUUGCAACCUUAAAAUUUUGUGGUUGUCCUCUAAUCAAUUGAUGGGGAUCAUUCCAAAAAGUAUUGGAAAUCUGACACGACUCAAAGAAUUAUAUUUGGGGCUGAAUAACCUAGAAG
rnacentral:lncRNA from 1 species